GUGGGAUGAGACCUUCGUGCAAGAUCUGCCCGCCGACCCGCGCUCCGAAAACAUCCCGCGCCAGGUGCUGCACGCGUGGCAUGGUCCCCGGCCGUCGCCGACCUCCUCGAUCUGGAUCACAAGGAACGAAAAAUUUCUGCUUCUCAAGACCUUGAGUUGGAGGAGCUACUCUUGAUGCGCAGAGCUGUCGGUGUAUACGGGUGUAUAUUUCAUUGCUGCACUUUGUCUAGAGUAAUAACUAUAGAGAAGGGCACACUACUUUGGUUGUUUUGGUGGGUUGUCGGAAAUCUCCCCAACUUUCUGUAUUCCGGAACGGAGGGAGUAUAUCUGUUGUUAUGAACACAUUUGGGAACUUCCUAUAUCUGUUGCGUUACUGAUGUGUAUCUUGCUGUCAUUCUGGUAUUUGCAUGUAUAUUCUGUGUAGUCUGGUGUAUAUACAGUGUAAUUCAAGAUUU